GACGUAGGGCGCGAGCGUUAUCCGGAAUUAUUGGGCGUAAAGAGCUCGUAGGCGGUUUGUCGCGUCUGCUGUGAAAGCCCGGGGCUCAACCCCGGGUCUGCAGUGGGUACGGGCAGGCUGGAGUGCAGUAGGGGAGACUGGAAUUCCUGGUGUAGCGGUGAAAUGCGCAGAUAUCAGGAGGAACACCGAUGGCGAAGGCAGGUCUCUGGGCUGUAACUGACGCUGAGGAGCGAAAGCGUGGGGAGCGAACAGG
rnacentral:rRNA from 1 species